rnacentral:rRNA from 1 species
CCUACAUGAAGCUGGAGUUACUAGUAAUCGCAGAUCAGAAUGCUGCGGUGAAUGCGUUCCCGGGUCUUGUACACACCGCCCGUCACACCACGGGAGUUGGAGACGCCCGAAGCCGAUUAUCUAACCUUUUGGAAGAAGUCGUCGAAGGUGGAAUCAAUAACUGGGGUGAAGUCGUAACAAGGUAGCCGUAUCGGAAGGUGCGGCUGGAUCACCUCCUUUCUAAGGAGA